rnacentral:pre_miRNA from 1 species
AAUAGAUGAUGCUGUUGACUUUUUCUCACGUGUUUGAUCAUUCAUCUUAUUCAAAAAUUUAUGUAAUUAUAACUUAUUUUGUUAUGAGUUGUUUUAUCACUCAUAGUACUUUAAGUGUGAUUUAUAUCUUAUACAUUUGUAUAAAAUUUUUAAAUAAGACGAAUGGUUAAACAUGUAAGAAAAAAUUAACGGUGUCAUUUAUU